rnacentral:rRNA from 1 species
GUCCUGGCCCUAAACGAUGAAUGCUUGGUGUGGCGGGUAUCGAUCCCUGCCGUGCCGAAGCUAACGCAUUAAGCAUUCCGCCUGGGAGUACGGUCGCAAGGCUGAACUCAAGGAAUUGACGGGGCCCGCACAAGCGGUGGAGCAUGUGGUUCAAUUCGACGCAACGCGAAGAACCUUACCCAGGCUUGAACAGCGAGUGACCACUCCUGAAAGGGAGCUUCCGCAAGGACACUCGUAGAGGUGCUGCAUGGCUGUCGU